rnacentral:rRNA from 1 species
UACGAAGGGGGCUAGCGUUGCUCGGAAUUACUGGGCGUAAAGGGCGCGUAGGCGGCUUGGCAAGUGGAAGGUGAAAUCCCUCGGCUUAACCGAGGAACUGCCCUCCAAACUGCUUUGCUUGAGGCCGGGAGAGGUGAGUGGAAUUCCCAGUGUAGCGGUGAAAUGCGUAGAUAUUGGGAGGAACACCAGUGGCGAAGGCGGCUCACUGGACCGGUUCUGACGCUGAGGCGCGAAAGCGUGGGGAGCAAACGGG